UGUUUCCCUAGAAUUUGCCUGGUGAUUUUAUUUUAUUUAUUUUUGGUACUUUAAUAGAGCAAUUAAGAGCCAGUCAACUUGCAGCCAUGUCUAAAGUAAAAUUACAAAGCAUGAAUGGUGAUGUUUUAGAAGUAGAGGAGGAAUAUUGUCAGACAAUGUGGCUCUAUCAAAGAUAUAAUAAGUGAAGACAGAGAUGAACCAAUCCAGAUCCACAACGUUAAUACAGCCAUUCUUAACAAGGUCAUUGAAUGGUGCACAUAUCAUAGAAAUGACCCUCCUCUCCCAGAAAACAGGGAGAUUGGAAUAAAUGAAAUCUGCCCUUGGGAUGCUGAAUUCCUCAAAGUUGAUGACAUAACUCUAAUUGAACUGGUUCGAGCAGCAUAUAACUUGGAUAUUAAAGUACUAAUGGAGGUAAGCUGUAAAACUGUAGCCCAGAAGAUUCGUGAAACCAUGUGUCCAGCAGAUCUUAGGGAUUUUUUUAAUGGAGGAGUAGGACAGGUGCAAGCUGAAAAUGAGUGGUUUGAUGAAUGAUGAAGCUAACUGUCAAAGGUUUCUGUUCAAAUCCUUGAGGAUCUUGGGGCCAGUCUUACACUUCAUACACAUGAUAAUAAUGCAGUGUUUCUCUCAUAUCACCUUAUUUAAGGAGGAAUGACCCUCUGAUAAGAGAGACAACUCCUCAAGAAAAUCCUAAGUUUGUUUUUCUAGAAUUUAGAACUGGAGAUCAUUUAUAGUCAAUUCAAAUAUAACAUGCAACAAUAA